rnacentral:misc_RNA from 1 species
CCUGACACUGAUCACUGCCGAAUCUUCGUGAGGGACUGUCCGAUCAUCUCAGCCCAGUUUGAGCGCGUCAGACUCAGGCAGUCUUCUUGAUGCGACAAGCGAUGCAACCAAGACCGCGGAAGAGAGCGUAGCGGCAAAACCUGCGAUGGCUGCGGCGAAGAUGAUGCCGAUCUCGCCGAACCGAUCACUUGCAGCGCGGCCGAUGCGACGAGAUGACGG